CCCAACUUCCCCCCGAUAACCAUGCAGUAUAUAGCGCCAGACGAACAUAAUCGAUCUUAUGUAUGUAUACAUGUGCAUACGUUCAUACGUAUGGAUACCAUAAAUAACCAGCUGUUAAAUAAAAAUUAAAGUACUUUAUUUACUGCAUUUUUAUUGGACACCAUUAGGAGACAACAUUAAAAAUUGUAUGCGCACGAGGCACACGUGGGUGGGAAAUAUAUUUUACUGCUACGAUGGAAUGAUAUGUGCACACAUGCCUGUAGUUAUAAUUAUGUGCAUGAAUGUCUUGCCUUACACACCCGAGAAUCCAAAUAAAGACUCACGUCAAGGGACAUAAAACGAAAUGAAAACUGAACUGAAAAUAGCGAGUCUGCCUGAAGAGUUUCGUCCCUUUGCGCACCAUGACUCCAUGGAACAAAUGUUCACGUGUUUUUUCAGACAGCAGAAUACAAAGACCUAUGUGUGAGCUUCCCCAAUUAUUUCCUUUUUACUUAGCCUCAGAAGAAAAAAUGCUCCCCCCUUUUUUUCUUCUUUUUUCUACAACUUCUGAAUCUGCCCGUGGGGUUCGGUAAGAUUUAUGGAAGGUGUGUCGCAGUAUAGCGGUGUGUAAAGUUUGUAGUGAAAGUUUUAAAUUCUCCAUGCACGGCCAAACAAUUAAUAUCAUUUGGGCAUGUAAGCCCACACAUCGAUUAUGAACGCCGGCUUCGAGAUAAUGCGAGCUGCCGCCACUUUUAGAGAGUAUAUAUAUAUAUAGUGAUCAUUGGAACUGAUCGAGAUAUAUUUUUGUCUUGUAAAGAAGGAGCUGUGCAUUACAUACUAAAGAUGAUGAAGCCACUGGUGUUUGCCUUUCUCCUGGCGAUGACGGGGCUGAUCUCGGCGUCAGUCCAGGGACCUGGAUGCCGAUUCAUCAACCGCGACUGUGGAGACGAGAAACAGUGCUGCGCUGGGUUGGCAUGUAAGGACAUCAAAAGCACCAUCAACGGCGUGACUACUAUCGAGAGAAGGUAGAAAGACCCUCGUUGACAUGAUAUGCUCUCGAGUGUGGAAAACAUGGACUAACGGUGGGGUGCUUCUGCUGUACAUCUGACACGUGUACAGUACAACUGUACUCUCCGCUAUACAACUUAUCAAUUUUAAUUCUUGCUACAAUGUUUUCACGUGUGAGGCUCUAAGCAUUCCUAUAUCCCCGCCUGAUGAGUAGUUACUGCUGCGAGAGGAUAAGGAAUAUCCCGGAGAUGUUUCCUAUUUUUCUUGAAUAAAGCAACUUUCCAGUUUCAUUCUUAUGUAAUGAUUCCUUAAAUAAUACUUCAAGUGGAGUUUAAUGUGGAUCUUUACCUCC